rnacentral:rRNA from 1 species
AACGAACGUUAGCGGCGCGCCUAAUACAUGCAAGUCGUGCGAGAAAGGGCUUCGGCCCCGGUAAAGCGGCGCACGGGUGAGUAACACGUAGGUAAUCUGCCCUCGAGUGGUGGAUAACCC